rnacentral:tRNA from 1 species
CAGGGAAUAGUUUAAUUAGAAUGUCAGCUUUGGGUGCUGGUGGUGGGGUUG